CCGGUUGUUUUUUUCGCAUUCCCUUUUUUAGGUUGCGACAGUAAUCCCUAUUGUUUUUCCCCUUUUCAGAGUUUAUCCUUGAUAUGUUCACUUUAACCAGUGAUGGAUUUUCUCUUUGAUUGGUCUUCUACCCAGUAACCGGUAGUUGUAAAUCCUAUUUUGUUCCCUCGCAGAGUUAAUCCUUGAUAUGUUCACAUGAAUCAGUGACGGAUUCUCUCUCCAACGGUUUUCUAUCUAGUUUUC
rnacentral:lncRNA from 1 species